GACAGAGGAUGCAAGCGUUAUCCGGAAUGAUUGGGCGUAAAGCGUCUGUAGGUGGCUUUUUAAGUCCGCCGUCAAAUCCCAGGGCUCAACCCUGGACAGGCGGUGGAAACUACCAAGCUGGAGUACGGUAGAGGCGGGUGGAAUUCCGGGUGUAGCGGUGGAAUGCGUAGAGAUCCGGAAGAACACCAGUGGCGAAGGCGGCCCGCUGGGCAGUGGCUGACGCUGAGGCGCGACAGCGUGGGGAGCAAACAGG
rnacentral:rRNA from 1 species